rnacentral:rRNA from 1 species
UACGUAGGGGGCAAGCGUUGUCCGGAAUUACUGGGCGUAAAGGGCGCGUAGGCGGCCUGGUAAGUCAGAUGUGAAAGUCCACGGCUCAACCGUGGAAUUGCAUUUGAAACUGUCAGGCUUGAGUGCAGGAGAGGAGAGCGGAAUUCCUAGUGUAGCGGUGAAAUGCGUAGAUAUUAGGAAGAACACCAGUGGCGAAGGCGGCUCUCUGGACUGUAACUGACGCUGAGGCGCGAAAGCGUGGGGAG